UACAGAGGUCCCAAGCGUUAUUCGGAUUUACUGGGCUUAAAGAGUUCGUAGGCGGCGCGGAAAGUAGGGUGUGAAAGCCCUCGGCUCAACCGAGGAAUUGCGCUCUAAACUGCCGCGCUCGAGGAACCUAGAGGUGAGCAGAACUGAUGGUGGAGCGGUGAAAUGCGUUGAUAUCAUCAGGAAUACCGGAGGCGAAGGCGGCUCACUGGGGGGUUAUCUGACGCUGAGGAACGAAAGCCAGGGGAGCAAACGGG
rnacentral:rRNA from 1 species